CAACUUGAGAGUUUGAUCCUGGCUCAGAACGAACGCUGGCGGCAGGCCUAACACAUGCAAGUCGAGCGCAGUGAUGAUUUUCGGAUUAUCACCGAGCGGCGGACGGGUUAGUAACGCGUGGGAAUGUACCCUUCUCUACGGAAUAGCCAUUGGAAACGAUGAUUAAUACCGUAUACGCCCUUCGGGGGAAAGAUUUAUCGGAGAAGGAUCAGCCCGCGUAAGAUUAGAUAGUUGGUGAGGUAACGGCUCACCAAGUCAACGAUCUUUAGCUGGUUUGAGAGGAUGAUCAGCAACACUGGGACUGAGACAC
rnacentral:rRNA from 1 species